ACUCUGAUCCAGCCAUGCCGCGUGCAGGAAGAAUGCCCUAUGGGUAGUAAACUGCUUUUAUACGGGAAGAAAAAGAGCUACGUGUAGCUUACUGACGGUACCGUAAGAAUAAGGACCGGCUAACUCCGUGCCAGCAGCCGCGGUAAUACGGAGGGUCCGAGCGUUAUCCGGAAUUAUUGGGUUUAAAGGCGUCCGUAGGCGGGCCGAUUAAGUCAGGGGUGAAAGUCUGCCGCUCAACGGUAGAACUGCCUUUGAUACUGUCGGUCU
rnacentral:rRNA from 1 species